UGAUCAUUAAUUGCACCCACCUGGUGUCCCAAAUCUAAAUCAGUUAAUGAUUAGAGAGGAACAAUGAGAAGAAGAAAAAGCAGUGGAACUGGCUUCGAUGUCCAGAGCUGAGUUUGAGGCCAUCUUUGUCAUAGAGCAGUUCUGGUGGUAAAUGUCAGAUCCGCUGGGCCAUCUUUAGCCUAUUGGGCCUGCAUAAAUUAUUAUUUGGCUAAUAAUGGGGGCCUCAACAUAAAAGGUCAAAACCAGACAGCUUUCACUCACGUCUUCUUGAAGAGUCCUCCCAGGGCGCUCCCCAGCAUGAGGAAGAGCUGUUGGGCGAAGAAGACCCAAGUGAUCUCCUGCAGAGUGGACUGAGUCUGACACCUCAGGUCCAGGAUGGUCGGCCCCAGGAACGCGAUACACAGCCCGAAACUGAAGAACACGCUCCAAUGUGAAAGUGCUGGGCAGACAGCUUUUAGCAGAUUCACCGUAGGCUUGGACAGAAGGAAUGGAAAGGGAGAAGUAGAAAUGGCGAAAAGAGAAGAGAGAAGUGUCGGUGUGGUGCUUUGCUGCGGUACUGGAGCUGGGAGGGGGACUGUGCUCCGGGCGUGGCUGGCUCGGGGCUCACUGGACUGGGACUGGCCUCGGGGUGCAGCGACGGCAGGGUCAGGCUGUCUGGAGUCAGUGCUGCAGGUCAGACGGAGAGAGAGAACGCACUCUUUAGAGUUAUGGAAAACAUUUAAAACACAGAUGCUGAGAAAUACUCCAUAUUGUAGCCUUAAACACACAGGGACAGGCUUGCUUGAACAUCCUCUCUUCAGUGUUGUACACAGCAGAUUGAGUGGACAAUUACACUUUACAAAUAAAAAAGACACAGCACUCAUUCAGACACUACACAAGGCUGCAUCAGCGACAGUGUGGAAAUAUGUGCAUGUGUUUCCAGUACUCUGAACAGCUUGUGUUUCAGCCUUGGUUUGAUCCUGUGUGUGAAUGGGUUGUUGGUCGAGCUGCUGUUGGAUGUGUUUGGAGUGGAUAUGUCUGUUCCAUGGCAUCGACUGACACCUCGUGUGUGUGUGUGUGUGUGUGUGUGUGUGUGUGUGUGUGUGUGUGUGUGUGUGUGUGUGUGUGUGUGUGUGUGUGUGUGUGUGUGUGUGUGUGUGUGUGUGUGUGUGUGUGUGUGCGCGUGCGCACAUCCGUAUGUGUGUUCAGCCCACAACCUCUCGGGGUGUUUGAUGUAGACUGCGGUGAGCUCUUUAACUCCGUGUUUCCAUGGGGACACUGAUUGUUAACAAAAGCGUGUGAGCAUGUGGCUAAAUGGAGGGAGAUAUCCUCUCUCUCUCAGAAGGCAAAGACAUCAACUCAAUGACUAUUUAAUGUAAUUUCAUUGAAAUGAAGUGAUAACAGCAGAUCAAAUCAAUGUGUCACAUGCGCUGAAUACAACAGGUGUUUCACCUUACAGUGAAAUGUUGACUUACAAGCCCUUAACCAACAAUGCACUUAAGAAAAAAUGUUAAGUAAAAAAAGAAGUUAAAAAUAACAUUCAAAGAGCAGCAGUAAAAUAACAGUAGCCAGGCUAUAUACAGGGGGUACAGAGUCAGUGUGCGAGGGCACAGGUUAGUCGAGGAUUGUUUCAACCAGUGUUUGCCCAGUGAGCUCUCGCUCUCUGUCUGUAUCCCUCUCCGUCUACUUAUUCUCUCUGACAGAUACAGUAUCACAGCCUGUUAUUAGUGGAAAUUAAAAAGCCCUGGCUACUCCUACACACACAGAGACUCACACAGAGACCAUUUUUCGGUGUACAUCCAUGCAGGUGAUGAUGGAGAUUUAGAUGUUAGAUUUGAGUUGAGCUAAAAGUUAGGAGGCAAGUAGCUCUCAGUGUUUAGAAAAAUAAGGUGACAAAAACAGAUGUGACAAAAGAGCGAUAGAGAUCAACGAAGGAGAGAUAGGGGGAACUGGAUGGAAUGAAGUGGCAAUAGAUGAAUGGUUCUAAGUUUGAUUAAUAUUCCUGCUGUGAGUGGGCACACAGAGAGAGAGGGAGAGAGAGAGAAAGAAAGGGAGCCUGUUUGGCUCAUCAUUUAAAUAUCACAGUUACAGCAACCCUUUGAUCUGUCUGCUCUUAAUUGGGGCCAGGUCAGGUGAGACAUGCACACACACAAUGUUCUAGUCCCAUCCUGUCUGUAGGAAACCCAAUCAUUGGAGAAGUGGACAAAGACAUGAAGGGCUCUAUUUCUUGCUGGCGUUAAGGCGGCUUUCGUGUCAAACGUAUGUUAGUUUGCAAUUUCAUCACGUAAAAAUGGGUGCACUGGCAUUUUCCAGCCAUAAUGUUCGACAAUUCACCUGUCUUCUAUAAUCUUCCAGCCAUAAUGCCAUGUUCGGCAAUUCACCUGUCUUCUAUAAUUUUCCAGCCAUAAUGUUCGGCAAUUCACCUGUCUUCUAUAAUUUUCCAGCCAUAAUGCCAUGUUCGGCAAUUCACCUGUCUUAUAUCAGCUCGCUUGCGCUCAGAUGGGAGGCCCACAUGAUUUUAGCCAUGUAGGUCCCGUUUUGGACGUGAUUAAAACCCCCUCCAUGAUGUAGGCUACGUGUCCAUGCCCAUCAUGAAACGAGAGAGGAGUACCUCUGAAUACCAGGGAACCUCGUAUUUAGAAGUUAUCUGAAAACCCAUUUUUUACAGGUUACAGUUGUUUUCCAUUUCAAACAGCAAUGUGUGUCUUUUUAUCCUGUCGAUUAAAUCAUUACAUUUUACAUGUAUUUGCUUGUUUUUCAGUUUAAUUUUAUUACAUCCUAUCUUAUUGGGGCGGCAGGUAUCCUAGUGGUUAGAGCAUUGGACUAGUAACUGAAAGGUUGCUAGAUUGAACCCACUGUUCUUAGGCUGUCAUUGAAAAUAAGAAUGUGUUCUUAACUGACUGGUUAAAUAUAUAUGAAAUGGUAUG